rnacentral:sRNA from 1 species
CGAGCGCAGCGAGAAAGCGUUGCCGCAGGCAACGACCCGAAGGGUGAGGAGCGGAGCGACGAAUAAUCCUUCCCCCACCACCA